rnacentral:rRNA from 1 species
AUUGAACGCUGGCGGCAUGCUUUACACAUGCAAGUCGAACGGCAGCGCGGGCUUCGGCCUGGCGGCGAGUGGCGAACGGGUGAGUAAUACAUCGGAACGUGCCCAGUAGUGGGGGAUAGCUCGGCGAAAGCCGGAUUAAUACCGCAUACGACCUGAGGGUGAAAGCGGGGGAUCUUCGGACCUCGCGCUAUUGGAGCGGCCGAUGGCAGAUUAGCUAGUUGGUGGGGUAAAGGCCUACCAAGGCGACGAUCUGUAGCUGGUCUGAGAGGACGACCAGCCACACUGGGGCUGAGACACGGCCCAGACUCCUACGGGAGGCAGCAGUGGGGAAUUUUGGACAAUGGGCGAAAGCCUGAUCCAGCAAUGCCGCGUGUGUGAUGAAGGCCUUCGGGUUGUAAAGCACUUUUGGCGGGAACGAAAAGGACUGUGCCAAUACCACGGUUCGAUGACGGUACCCGCAGAAUAAGCACCGGCUAACUACGU